ensembl:lncRNA
CCAUGACAAUAUCCUUUUCAUCUUCAGGGACCUUUUUGUCUGAUUUAAACGUCUGCUUACAGCGAAGAAAUGAAACGCACAUCUAAGGCAAGUCCUAAAAGUUUUGUGAAAUGUGCUGACCCGUGCCCAAGAUAUUUGUCGCCGGGUGACACUCACGAGAUGUGUGUGUACUGUUUGGGUGAAGAGCACGCACAGGAUGCUCUUGAGGGAGCAUCCUGUGCAUAUUGUGAGCGUUUUCCUAUGAGAACGCUCCGGUCUCGUCGGGCUCUCUUCUCGAGGGAAGAGAGUUCAGCGUCUGGUCCUCGCGGAUCAGGUCCCGCUCGUGCCGAGGCAGAGCGGCGACGCGCUUCAUGGGGCUCCCAGAUGGAGCUCGCUGACAGUCUCGAGAGGGGCGUUAACCUCUCGGACGCGUCAUCGGCUGACGAGAGUGAGCUGCAGGUGGAUGACGGAGACUUUUCUCCUACUAAUACUGCAGCGAGUGCUCUUCAGGCCGGGCAAGAGAUGGCUGAGGAGGAUGAUUUAGAUCCUCAACCUCGUCAGCCAUCCUGCCCCGUGUACGCAGAGCUGGUGGAAGUUAUGGAGCGCGCCACUGACAAAUUUCAGUUGCCAUGGCGGCGCGCUCAGGGAGAGAUCGUUCACAGUUGUUUGGAUGAUCGGUUUCUCCCUGAACAUAGACCACCAGCUCAGCAGAGCCUUCCAUUCCUUCCUGAUCUCCAUUCAGAGAUCGAGAGGGCAUGGAAGAAACCGUACUCUGCCCGUAUUCAUCGACAUCAGCGGGGCAACUUCGCUGAUGUUGAGGGGAUCGGUGAGUACGGUUAUGUGUCCAUGCCGCCCGAUGAAGAGACGUUUGCGAAUUAUCUUGUUUCUGGGCAGGUGUCGACACUAAAAGCUCCGACUCUGCCAUCCAAGCCCCUUAAAGCCACGGCUCGCUUGAAUGGCAGAGCGUACACGGCAGCAGGUCAGGCUGGUGCUGCCCUUCAUACCAUGGCAGUGCUCCAAGCCUACCAAGCUGACCUGCUGCAGGAUCUUGACCAGGGGGCAGGGCUGUCCCCUGAGGCAGUCGCUGAGUUGCGCCGGACCACAGAUUUGUCCCUCCGGGCCACUAAACAGACUGCUGCCGCGAUCGGCCGAUCGAUGGCGGCGAUGGUGGCCACAGAGAGACAUCUGUUGAUAUCUGCUGAUAUCGGGGAGAAAGAAAAAUCCCUUCUCCUUGAUUCACCAGUUUCGCCUGCUAAACUUUUUGGCACCUCCGUUGAGGCGGUGGUUGGAAAGUUUAGGGAGGCGAAGGCGCGCUCAGCUGCAUUUAAGACCUGUAUACCUCUGAGAUCCGGGCCCCAGCCCAGGCAGGCGGGAGGACCUGGUCCGUCUUGGUCUGAGGACCGUAGGCAGGACCAGAGGUCUAGUGUCGCCUCUCGUGCCCCCCCUCCAUGGAGGAGUAGGACACAGAGGAGGCGGGCCUCCCGCAAAAAGAGGGACUUAAGGGAGGUCAUUCAGCACAAGCGCUGCAACACUCAGCGGAAAUAGGGUUUGAUCUCCCUGGAGGGCCUUUUCUACCAGCCCUCUCCCUCUUCUUGACUCCCCAGGCGUUUACGUUACACCAGCCCUGGGAAUGGGCCUUAUGAUGAGAACUAUGUUCUGAUGGCCCACCAUAGCAACUGGUUGAUGUGAGCG